CUACUACCGAUUGAAUGGAUUAGUGAGCUCCAGGGAUUGAGGCGCCUUUGGGCAACCAAAGGUGUUUCUGAGAACUGGAUCAAACUUGCUCAUUUAGAGGUAAGURAAAGUCGUAACAAGGUU
rnacentral:rRNA from 1 species